rnacentral:rRNA from 1 species
GCAUACGGGGGGCAGCAGUAGGGAAUCUUCCACAAUGGGCGAAAGCCUGAUGGAGCAACGCCGCGUGGGUGAAGAAGGUCUUCGGAUCGUAAAACCCUGUUGUUAGAGAAGAAAGUGCGUGAGAGUAACUGUUCACGUUUCGACGGUAUCUAACCAGAAAGCCACGGCUAACUACGUGCCAGCAGCCGCGGUAAUACGUAGGUGGCAAGCGUUAUCCGGAUUUAUUGGGCGUAAAGGGAACGCAGGCGGUCUUUUAAGGCUGAUGGGAAAGCCUUCGGCUUUACCGGAGGAGGGCAUUGGAAACG